UGCGCAGGUUGUCUUCUCAGUUGUGAGCGACAAAAGUAGCAUAAUAAGACUCCAAUGAAGUCACUUUCUUUUCCUAACCAAUACUACCAUUCUUGCUCCUUUCACCAAUUCUCCUGCAGAUUCAGUUAAGCAUUUUCUCAAACACAGAGUCUGCAGUUUUAUCUCUCAGUUUUUUUCUUCAUUCGCCGGUUGGAUCGCCGGUUUCCGGUAUGGAAACACCACUUUGUUUUCAUCGAAAUUCUGCACACACAAUAAUGAUGAUAGUCGGGAAUUGAUAAACAAACUCAAUAUCCUAAAAAAAGCUCUUUUUUAAUUUAUUUUGUUUCUGUUGAAAUGGCUGACGUCAAUGUUAACUCAGUGUUGACUUCGAGCGAAGAUAUGGCGGAGAAAGCAUUGAGCAAGAGAUAUGAAGGGUUAGUUGCGGUCCGUACAAAAGCUAUCAAAGGGAAAGGAGCUUGGUACUGGGCUCAUCUCGAGCCUAUUUUGAUUCAAAACCCGGAAACGAAUCUCCCUAAAGCAGUGAAACUCAAGUGCACUUUGUGUGAUGCUGCGUUUUCGGCUUCAAAUCCAUCUCGGACUGCUACAGAGCAUCUUAAAAGAGGUACUUGUCCCAAUUUUGGCUCAGUUUUGAGGCCCAUUUCACAAUUACCCCCUUUAGCUUCACCUACUUCGCAGAAUAAUCAUCGCAAGCGAAGUUCACCACUUACUGGUACUUCUUCAAAUUCGCAACAAUUUGGAGUGGUGAACACUUCGCCGCGAUUCUGCGGCGAAAUGGGCUAUUCACCACUCCAAACAGCUCAAGCAAUUGUUACCCAUACGGGUCUUAAUCAACAACAUUUGAUGUUGUCGGGUGGGAAAGAGGAUUUGGAUGCUUUAGCGAUGUUGGAAGAUAGUGUAAAGAGGCUUAAAAGUUUGAAAAAUUCACCUGGUCCAGCUUUGUGUAAGGACCAGGUUGAUUCAGCUUUCAAUUUGUUGGCUGAUUGGUUUUAUGAGUCUUGUGGGACUGUGACACUUUCGAGUCUCGAGCAUCCCAAAUUCAAGGCUUUCCUUAACCAAGUAGGCUUGCCUGAGGUGUCAAGAAAGGAUUUUGUAGGAGAAAAACUUGAUUCUAAGUUUGAAGAAGCAAGAGUGGAGUCCGAAGCCAGGAUUCGCGAUGCAGCAUUUUUUCAAGUUUCUUCAGAUGGAUGGGGGAGGGAUAUUUGUAAGUAUGGGGAAGAUACUGUGAUUAAAUUUAUCAUAAAUCUUCCUAAUGGUACUAAUGUAUUUCAUAAGGCAGUGUAUAAGGGAGGUUUGGUGCCAUCGGAGUAUGCAGAGGAAGUUUUACGUGAAACUAUUAAAGGGUUGUGUGGUAAUGUUGUUCAAAGAUGUGUAGGAAUAGUUGGAGACAAGUAUAAAGGUAAGGCAUUGAGGAAUUUGGAGUUACAAAAUCAUUGGAUGGUUAAUCUUUCAUGCCAACUUCAUGGAUUUAUUAGUUUGUUGAAGGACUUUGGUAGAGAGCUUCCACUUUUUAAAAUUGUCACUGAUAAUUGCUUAAAAAUUGCAAAUCUUUUCAAUAGCAAGUCCCAAAUCAGAAAUCAUUUUAGGAAAUUCAGGUCGCACGGUGUUGAGCUUGCAGGGUUGAUUAGAGUUCCUUCAGCUGACUGCAAUCUCUCUAAGAACUAUGGUCCUGUUAUUGCAAUGUUGGAGGAUAUACUAAGUUAUGCUCGAAUACUGCAGUUAAUAGUGCUGGAUGAUUCCUAUAAGGUCUCAUGCAUAGAGGAUCCUGUUGCUAAAGAAGUUGCUGAAAUGAUACAGGAUGUUGGGUUUUGGAACGACGUGGAGGCUGUUCAUUCACUAGUGAAGCUGAUCAAGGAGAUGACUGAUGAUAUUGAGGUCGAGAGACCCUUAGUUGGUCAGUGUCUUCUUCUUUGGGAGGAGUUGAGAGCUAAAGUAAAGGACUGGUGUGCCAAAUUUAGCAUUGCUGAGGGACCUAUUGAGAAGAUAAUCGAUACACGGUUCAAGAAAAACUAUCACCCUGCAUGGUCAGCUGCAUUUGUACUUGAUCCAUUAUACUUAGUGAGGGAUGCAAGUGGGAAGUAUCUUCCACCAUUUAAACGUCUGACACAUGAUCAAGAGAAGGACAUAGACAAGCUAAUAACACGGCUCGUACCACGGGAGGAAGCUCCCACUGCACUAAUGGAGCUUAUGAAAUGGAGAUCAGAAGGGCUCGACCCACUGUACGCUCAGGCUGUUCAAGUAAAGCAGCGAGAUCCUGUAACAGGAAGAAUGAAAAUUGCAAAUCCUCAGAGUAGCAGGCUUGUAUGGGAAACUUGCCUGAAAGAGUUCAAGUCGCUGGGGAAGGUUGCUGUUAGGCUUCUCUUCCUUCAGGCAACCUCAUGUGGAUUCAAAUGUAAUUGGUCCUUUAUGAGAUGGGUUUCGCUGCAAGGGCAAUCGAGGGUUGGCAUGGAUAGAGCUCAAAGGAUGAUCUUCAUUGCAGCUCACGCAAAACUUGAGAAACGGGAUUUUUCCAGUGAUGAGGAGAAGGAUGCUGAGAUGCUUACUACAGCAAAUGAUAAGCUUUUAUGAGAUCAGUCAACCUAAGAACAGUCCGGAAGCAGAUCCUUGUAGCCAGAAGAAUGACUCCAGAGCAUCUGCUUUAAGAACCCCACAGACAUUGCAUCAAGAGGAAGGUUAGAGGGAAAGUUCUCUGUUUCUUUCUAUUUUCUAUGUAUUCAAUUGUUUAUUUUAUUCCUAUCAGCCAAGACUGUUUAAAAAGCUUUAGUUUAACUAUUUCUUUAAGCAUCAUGACCAUCUAUCUUACUCUCAUACAAGGUGGUACUUUGUUGAAAAUUUCACACCAGAUUCUGAAUUUGAAAGUUAAAAGUUUUUUCUUAGUGCUUGGUUAUUUCACCUGAUUGGGAAAAGCUACUUUGAGCAAACUGUAAGCAAGGGGGCUGUUGGCACUAUGGAUUGCAUAUUAUAGCUGAAAAGAUUUUUCAACGAAUUUCAACCGACUUUUGGCUCUACUUUGCUGCCUAUAACAUUAACUACUAAUAUAAUUUGGUAUGUAUGGAGGCAUGCUGUGUUUUCUUUUUUUCAUGUUAUCAUUCACGUGCACCGUUCAUAAAUACACUGCAGAUAAUAGGACUUCACUAAGUUUUGGUUCAAGUAUUCGUCUUAAACUGGGACUGUUAUAACUUAGUUGCUUAUAGAUUUCUAAGGAAUACCUACAAUUUAUGACUUGCAUGCUGAUGUACUUGUUCCAUAGCUGACUUAACGAAUUCUGGUCUUGGAAACCUCUAUGAAAUGAUUGUUAAUAUAUAAUUACGCUGAAAUUGGAUACAUUAACCAUCAUUUGAUUCCUUUUCUUGUGGCUGAAUUCUUGACAAUCUUAACAUGACAUAGUACCCUACAGGUAAAAUUUCCAAUCUACGGGGCAUGUUUAUGAUUAUUCUUUAACAUCUUAGUGUGCAAUAGUACAGGAGAUGGUGAAAAAGUGGUGAGAUGAAACAUACAGAAGGACAAAAAAAUUGUAUAGUAUACAAGAAAAAGAGAGGCGGGAAGGGCCAAAAAGAGGAAACGAAAUUAAAAAGCCGAUUUUUCUGGAGGAUGAUAUUGUUUCUGCUAGUUCACUUGUCUAUAGAAUUUGCUAUAGGUAUUAAUUGAUGGAGGGACACGAGGAAUGUGCUGAUAACGCUAACUACUAAUAGACUGCUCAACCAACUAGAGGAUUUGAAAAGGCCUUUUCACUCGUAUGGAACUGAUAAACUUCAACCUGUGGAUCGACCUUCAACUUUCUCUUCGUACGACAUGCCAAAAAAUGAUUACUUUGAGAAGAGUUAUAUAAUGCCAAAUGCACGAUGUAUCAUACGUUCACACGGAUUUCGAGAAGAACAACACACAACCUACUCUAAUAUUAUUGACUGAUUUCAUGGCUCAAACUCCGUGACCUAUAAAUCACGUUGAGACAAUCAAAAAAUGAAUACGUAGAGAAGAGAUAUACAUAAAUGGCUUUGUUCUUCAUAUCUAAUCAUUUCACAUAUAUAAUUAAUGAUACUAGAAGAAAACAUGUGUUGCAACUGUAGAUAAAUAUCUGUCAAUCACUUAUUCUCAUUGUAUUAUAUUAUAUUAUAUGAACAAUAAAUGUGGUCCUAGGGAGCAUCUUAUCGUUGUUA